rnacentral:rRNA from 1 species
AUUGAACGCUGGCGGCAGGCCUAACACAUGCAAGUCGAGCGGAGCGGCCGUCGCGUGAUUAAUGCCUAGGUAUCUGCCUCUUAGUGGUGGAUAACGUCCCCUAACGGGCCCUAAUACCGCUUCCUAUCAGAUUCGCCUAGUUGGGAUUAGCUAUUUGGUGGGGUAAAGGCCUACCAAGGCGACGAUCCGUAACUGGUCUGAGAGGAUGAUCAGUCACACUGGAACUGAGACACGGUCCAGACUCCUACGGGAGGCAGAAGUGGGGAAUAUUGGACAAUGGGCGAAAGCCUGAUCCAGCCAUGCCGCGUGUGUGAAGAAGGUCUUCGGAUUGUAAAGCACUUUAAGUUGGGAGGCGUUACCAAAAGAAGAAGCACCGGCUAACUUCGUGCCAGCCGCCGCGGUAAUAG